rnacentral:rRNA from 1 species
AACGAACGCUGGCGGCAUGCCUAACACAUGCAAGUCGAACGAGACCUUCGGGUCUAGUGGCUCACGGGUGCGUAACGCGUGGGAACCUGCCCUUAGGUUUGGAAUAACUCCCCGAAAGGGGUGCUAAUACCGGAUAAUGUCUUCGGACCAAAGAUUUAUCGCGUUUGGAUGGGCCCGCGUUGGAUUAGCUUGUUGGUAGGGUAAAAGCCUACCAAGGCGACGAUCCAUAGCUGGUCUGAGAGGAUGAUCAGCCACACUGGGACUGAGACACGGCCCAGACUCCUACGGGAGGCAGCAGUGGGGAAUAUUGGACAAUGGGCGAAAGCCUGAUCCAGCAAUGCCGCGUGAGUGAUGAAGGCCUUAGGGUUGUAAAGCUCUUUUACCCGGGAUGAUAAUGACAGUACCGAGAGAAUAAGCUCCGGCUAACUCCGUG